GACGAACGCUGGCGGCGUGCUUAACACAUGCAAGUCGAACGGUGAACCUCUUCGGAGGGGAUCAGUGGCGAACGGGUGAGUAACACGUGGGCAACCUGCCCCCGGCUCUGGGAUAACUCCAAGAAAUUGGGGCUAAUACCGGAUGUUCACCGCUUCCCGCCUGGGUGGUGGUGGAAAGGGUUUCCGGCUGGGGAUGGGCCCGCGGCCUAUCAGCUUGUUUGUGGGGUAGUGGCCUACCAAGGCGACGACGGGUAGCCGGCCUGAGAGGGUGACCGGCCACACUGGGACUGCGAGACGGCCCAGACUCCUACGGGAGGCAGCAGUGGGGAAUAUUGCGCAAUGGGCGGAAGCCUGACGCAGCGACGCCGCGUGGGGGAUGACGGCCUUCGGGUUGUAAACCUCUGUCAGCAGGGACGAAGCGCAAGUGACGGUACCUGCAGAAGAAGCACCGGCCAACUACGUG
rnacentral:rRNA from 1 species